rnacentral:rRNA from 1 species
UACGGAGGGUGCUAGCGUUGUUCGGAAUUACUGGGCGUAAAGCGCACGUAGGCGGACUGGAAAGUCAGAGGUGAAAUCCCAGGGCUCAACCUUGGAACUGCCUUUGAAACUCCCGGUCUUGAGGUCGAGAGAGGUGAGUUGAAUUCCGAGUGUAGAGGUGAAAUUCGUAGAUAUUCGGAGGAACACCAGUGGCGAAGGCGGCUCACUGGCUCGAUACUGACGCUGAGGUGCGAAAGCGUGGGGAGCAAACAGG